AUUUUUGAAAAGUUGACACCCUAGGGUAUUUCAAAUGGUGGUAUUUUAACACUUUCAAUGCACUAAUUCUACCACCAGGCUUUAUUUUUCACACACAUUCUACUUUAGGCAUGGAUUCUCAGCUCCUGUUAAGUGUUACUGCCAAAAAACCACCCCAAUAUGUGUUUAGCAACAUCUCCUGAGUACAGUGAUACCACCCAUGUACAGGUGUGUCAGCU